AAUGUCACCCGAUGUCACGAUGUCACUUGGAAGAGGUGUCACCCCAUGGCUCAAUGGAUGUCACCCGGUGGCGGAUGUCAGUCGCUGGCUCGAUGUCACCUGGCUGCUCGAUGUCACCUGCUGAUGGGUGUCACCCGGUGGCUCAAUGGAUGUCACCUGGAGUCGGGUUCUUUACAGCCCUUCCAAUGGUGGUUGUCACCCGGUGUCACGAUGUCACCCAGAAGCGGUGUCACCCCAUGGCUCAGUGGAUGUCACCCGGUGGCGGAUGUCAGUCGCUGGCUCGAUGUCACCUGGCUGCUCGAUGUCACCUGCUGAUGGGUGUCACCCGGUGUCACGAUGUCACCCACAGUCAGUUGUCUUCAGCCCUUCCGGUGGUGAAUGUCACCCGGUGGCACGAUGUCACCCGGAAGCGUUGUCACCCCAUGGCUCAAUGAUGUCACCUGGUGGCAGGUGUCACCCGGUGUGACCUCAGGACACGCGUGGCCUUUGCUUAGUACCCGAAUGGGAUAAAUUAUCCCCCU
rnacentral:lncRNA from 1 species